rnacentral:lncRNA from 1 species
UAGUUGUGACCAAUGUUCAACUUUUAAUUUAUCAUUUGUUGUAACCACAUGAUCUUAUGUAACCAUGGAACUUUACAUAAUACUCUACACAUAAUGAAAGACAUUUUUUCUAUAAGAGAGAGAACUAGAUCAAAAUCACAAAUCCUAUACUUUUUUUAUUUAAUUCAAGAAAUAAUAAUACCAUUAGAAGAUUUGAUAUCCUUAAAAGAGUUGUAGAGAUUGUAAAGCUCAUGUGUUGCUCAUCUAGACAACCCA